GCCAGUGUGGUGUAGUGGUUUGAGUGUUGGACUAUGACUCUGGAGACCAGGGUUCGAUUCCCCGUUCAGCCA